UACGGGAGGCAGCAGUGGGGAAUAUUGCACAAUGGGCGCAAGCCUGAUGCAGCCAUGCCGCGUGUAUGAAGAAGGCCUUCGGGUUGUAAAGUACUUUCAGUCGUGAGGAAGGUGUUAAGGUUAAUAACCUUAGCAAUUGACGUUAGCGACAGAAGAAGCACCGGCUAACUCCGUGCCAGCAGCCGCGGUAAUACGGAGGGUGCGAGCGUUAAUCGGAAUUACUGGGCGUAAAGGGCACGCAGGCGGUUAAUUAAGUUGGAUGUGAAAUCCCCGGGCUUAACCUGGGAAUGGCAUUCAAGACUGGUUAGCUAGAGUCUUGUAGAGGGGGUAGAAUUCCAUGUGUAGCGGUGAAAUGCGUAGAGAUGUGGAGGAAUACCGGUGGCGAAGGCGGCCCCUGGACAAAGACUGACGCUCAUGUGCGAAAGCGUGGGGAGCAAA
rnacentral:rRNA from 1 species